GUGGCGCCGAGCCAAUCGGAAGUGGUCCAGUCUCUGCGCCGGAGCUUGCUGUGCAAGCCUUGGCUGCCUUAGCAGGACGCGCGUGCACAAGGAGGCCCGCGGAGCCCUGCCAUGCAGCUCCCAAAGGACGCUACCGGGCACAGCCCGCUGGCCUCAGUGUCUAUUAUCCUCCCGGUGCACAAUGCUGAACAGUGGUUGGAUGAGUGCUUGGCAUCUGUUUUGCAGCAAGACUUUGAAGGCACCAUGGAGCUCUCUGUCUUUAAUGAUGCCAGCAAGGACAAGUCUAUGACCAUCAUUGAAAAAUGGAAGAUGAAACUGGAAGAUUCUGGCAUCUCUGUAGUCAUUGGAGGCCAUGACUCUCCUUCUCCAAGAGGAGUUGGAUAUUCUAAAAACCAAGCAAUCGCACAGAGCACAGGGUCUUACCUUUGUUUUUUGGAUUCAGAUGAUGUUAUGAUGCCCCAGAGAGUGAGGCUGCAACAUGAAGCUGCUGUUCAGCACCCAACGAGUAUCAUAGGAUGCCAAGUGAGGAGAGACCCCUCAGACUCUACAGAGCGAUACACGCGUUGGAUCAACCAGUUGACAUCUGAUCAGCUGUUGACACAGGUGUUCACCUCCCAUGGCCCCACAGUGAUCAUGCCCACCUGGUUCUGCUCUCGGGCCUGGUUUUCCCAUGUGGGCCCAUUUGAUGAAGGAGGACAGGGGGUACCAGAGGACCUGCUGCUCUUCUAUGAGCACCUCAGGAGAGGGGGCGGUGUAUUCCGGGUGGACCACAAACUGCUCCUCUACCGCUACCACCCGUAUGCUGCCACACAUUCAGUCCUUGAGAUGACCAUCUGGACCCACCGUGUUCACUUCCUAGAGGAACAGGUCCUGCCUCGUUGGAAGUCCUUCACCAUUUGGAAUGCAGGCAAGCAGGGGCGACGGUUAUACCGCAGCCUGACUGCAGCCAGCCGGCGCAAGGUGAUGGCCUUCUGUGAUGUUGAUGAGAACAAGAUCAGGAAGGGCUUCUACUGCCACGAGGACUCUGAGGAAAGGCCCAAGCCGAAGGUCCCCAUCCUGCACUUCCAAGCUGCCCAGUCACCCUUUGUCAUCUGUGUGAAGCUGGACCUCACAGGGGGUGAGUUUGAAGACAACCUGAAGUCACUGCACUUGCAGGAAGGCCAGGACUUCGUUCACUUCAGCUGAGGCUGCUGCCAGGGUUUUUCUAUGUGGUCCUGGAACUCACUAUGCAGACUGUCAUCCAACUCACAGAGAUCUGCCUGCCUCUGCUGGAAUUAAAGGCUCAGCCUACAGCACCUGUGAAUCACACCCCAACACCCCCUUCUGCACUUCUUCUAAGUCAAGUCUCUAAAGCCAUUAAAACAGAGGAAAGACCACAUGGCCCUUGCAGCAGCAAAAUAAAAGCUAGAUGACAUCCACUUGGUUGCAUCCUGAUGGCGCUGUGACCCUUGCACACCAAACAUUCUCCCACCUGAAGCUCCCAGGGUGUGUCCUCAACCCUAUGUGAAGCGGAGAGGUGGCCCUGAGCACUUGAGGGUUAGAAAUGCCUCCCCUCUUUCCAAGAGAAAGCGGCACCAGGCUCAGGCAGGCCCUACUUACCAGGCUGUGUCACUGAGCACAGACAUGACCUCGUCAAGCACAUCGGCAUCUACCAAGUCGCUAUAAGUGAGCACCAUCUCGUACACCUGGCUUGCUGUGGUCUUCCGGAUCUGGGACAAGAACAGCAGGUCAACAGGAGGAAAACCUGUCAACACCCAGGAAGCCCAAGGGGUCUUAGGAGGAUCCAUAAAAGGAGGGAGGUGAACUUGGUUACAGCCCAGAUACCUCUGUCGUCAGACAGGCACCAGGGAAGGAACUGCAGCCUUUGUCAGAAGAUGCAGUAGAGAAUCCUACCUGAGAAUCUGUCUCUCUCGCUCUUUUUUGGUUAUGUCCUGUGACAAACUGUUUCGUAUGAGGUGUAAUCUACCCCUAGUAAUGAGCAUUUCUGACAAAGAGGCUGAGCUGUGGGUCAUCCCAAUCCUUUGCACAAGUUCCCCUGACUUUUUAGAAAAAAAAAAAAAUGUCACCUUUGGGAUACUUAAGAGUUUUUGGAUAAGAGAGGGAAAUCCUAACCCUGCUGCUAACACCCCACCCUUAGCAAUGCUUCCCCCAUGCUCACCUUACAAGUACCAGCACCCACAUUCCUUUCAUACAAACGCUAGCCAAUUGACUAACAUAUCCCAGGGCUGCCCACACCAUCUCACCCUGUGUUUACUUCAAAGUUAUACUCAUCUUUAAAGGCCACAAGUAAGCAAGACCUUAGAUGGUCUUGAGGUAGGACAGACACUCACCACAGGGAAAGGGUGGCCAAGGAGGAGGAACAGUUGCAGAAGAACCUUCUUUCUCACAUCACCGUUGAACUGUACCAUCCCACAGAGCCUGCAGAAGAACCACAGGUGACAUGGAACUGUACCCUACUCACAUUGUUACCCAAGGACCCAAGACACAUGGGAGACCUACAAAGUAGACAGCAUAAACCUCGAGCCAUGUGCUAAUAUAUGUGUACACACCUGUACAUUGCACACCAGUGUGCUCCCAUGUGAUAUACACAGCCAUUAUGCAAGUGUGCAUUGUAAACUACCACGCUCCCAUGUAGUUACCUAUACAUGAUGAAUGAUGAUAUCUUGGUGCUAACAUGUGCCUGCGUGUCCAGAUUCCUGCAUUCCCAUGUGUGCGUGUGCCCAGAUCCCUGCACCAGCACAGGAGUAUUCACAUUCCUUGGGCAUCCACAGGGGCCGGUACCUCUCUUCCUAAAUGCCAUUACUGAUGGGAGUACUCUGAACUUAACUUUCCUAGAUGAACACUCACUCUAUUUUAAACAGCUUUGCAAUUAAAACUAUUUUCUACCAAGAACUACAAAGUCCCUCCUAUUUCCGUCUCCACCCAGGAGCACUUAAAACUCACACUGCAAUGCUUGACCGAAGUUUCUGGAUGUCUUUUGACUUUCUGAUUUCUUCCUUACAAAGUGCGAGCAACUUCACACAAAAGGGGUGGCUUGAAGGAGAAAACAUGAUUGUAAGUACAUCUUUCACAGGAAUACACAGCAAUAUGAUUCAUGCUGCAGUAGCAUCCAGUGAUGCUGGGCCCUGUGGAACCAGCCACUUUCUUUGGUUCCCAACACGAACAGCAGAGAACAGAUGUCCUAGCUCAUUUCCUGUAAGAUAUCCCAUAUCACCCAUGGUAGUCAACACCUGGGCAGGCAGGCCCGGGCACAGUUAGGUCUGACCGUGUCCAAGUGGCUCUUCCCAACAGAAAAUACCCCACCAGCAAGUGCUACUUCAAGGAGAGAAGCCCUAUGAGGGGUCUUGGUUACAGAGGAGGACAGUGAGUCCUAUUCAUCCCCAAUGACCUUAAUACUGGGCUACCACACCAGGAUAGUCCAUGACAAUUAAUUCCCAGGUCAACCCUGGUGUGAAGAGAAUGCUGCUGUACCCUGGGACUUUGAUCUGGGUCCCAUGGAUCUCAAUCCUUCCCUGACUACGAAUGUCAUAUUGCUGAGGGCUUUGGCUAUUGUUGUUCCCAGCUUGCACAAGGACCUGUGCAUCCUUAGCUGGUCUUCCUAUAGGGCUCAUGCACUGUCUAUUGCUUUUCUAGACUUAAAGGUCACACACCACAGACACUCUAUGGUCCCAAUGGUCGCAUUCAGGUUUACAUUGAGCUUUGUGAUCUCCAGAAACCUUGUUGGUUCUCAUGCCAGGAUUCCUGAAAGACUCCCAUUGAGCUAAUCCAAGAAGCAUGGGCCCUCCCAUGACUUGGGUCUAAUGAACAUCUCAGCUCUGCCUGUCUGAGUGGAGUGACAUGGCUUCCUGGCCAUACCUGCUACUCUGAAGAUUUCUGAUGUGGAAAGAGACACACAGGCCAGUCAUUUUCAUGGCUCCCUCAUUCUCACAUCUGUCGGCCUCAUGCCCACAGAUUUCCCUGAUGGCUAAGGAUGUCUUUCAGCCAUUUUAGAUUCCUCUGUUGAGAAUUCUCUAUUUAGUUCUAUACCCUACUUUUUAAUUGGAUUGUUUGGUGUUUUGGUGACUAAAUAAAAAGAAAGAAAAAUAACAACAAAAAAAGCUAAAGUACAGUAUAAGCAGAAGCACCUCCAAUACCAAAAAAAAAAAAAAAAAAUCCACCCAUUUGAUGAGUGUCAGCC